UGAAUACGAAAUGCUACGGCAUUGAAGUGAUCUAUGCCAUGCUUCCAAGAAAAUCUCGUCAUAUCUUAAAUAAUAAAUGCCUGUACCUUAAACCGACACAGGUAGGUAGGUAGAGUAUACCAAGGGGCGCGAGAUAACUCUCUCUAAGGAACUCGGCAAAAUAACCUCGUAACUUCGGAAGAAGAGGUACCCUUGAAAAAGGGUUGCAAUAACCAGACCCUGGCGACUGUUUACCAAAAACACAGGUCUCCGCUAAUUCGUAAGAUCAAGAAUGGAGGCUGACGCCUGCCCAGUGCCGGAAGGUUAAAGAAGUUGGUCAAUCUUCGGAUGAAGCUGGCGACUGAAGCCCCGGUGAACGGCGGCCGUAACAAUAACGGUCCUAAGGUAGCGAAGUUCCUUGUCGGGUAAGUUCCGACCCGCACGAAAGGCGUAACGAUCAGGGUGCUGUCUCGGAGAGAGACUCGGCGAAAUAGACAUGUCUGUGAAGAUGCGGACUACCUGCACCUGGACAGAAAGACCCUAUGAAGCUUUACUGUAUCUUGGAAUUGGGUUUGGGCCUUGUUUGCGCAGGAUAGGUGGGAGGCUGUGAAAAUAUUCUCGUGGGAAUAUUGGAGCCAACGGUGAGAUACCACUCUAGCAAGGCUAAAAUUCUAACUCUGAACCGUUAUCCGGUCAGAGAACAGUUUCAGGUGGGCAGUUUGACUGGGGCGGUCGCCUCCUAAAAGGUAACGGAGGCGCGCAAAGGUUCCCUCAGGCUGGUUGGACAUCAGUCGUAGAGUGUAAAGGCAUAAGGGAGCUUGACUGCGAGACCCACAAGUCGAGCAGAGACGAAAGUCGGCCCUUGAUCCGACGGUUCCACGUGGAAGGGCCGUCGCUCAACGGAUAAAAGUUACUCUAAGGAUAACAGGCUGAUCUCCCCCAAGAGUUCACAUCGACGGGGAGGUUUGGCACCUUGAUGUCGGCUCAUCGCAUCCUGGGGCGGUAGUACGUCCCAAGGGUUGGGCUGUUCGCCCAUGAAAGCGGUACGCGAGCUGGGUUCAGAACGUCGUGAGACAGAUCGGUCCAUAUCCGGUGCAGGCGUUAGAGCAUUGAAAGGAGUCCCCCUUAGUACGAGAGGACCGGGGGGAAUACACCGCUGGUGUACCAGUUAUCGUGCCAACGGUAAACGCUGGGUAGCCAUGUGUAGCGUGGAUAACUGCUGAAAGCAUCUAAGUAGGAAGCCCACCUUAAGAUGAGUGCUCUCACCGCUAUAAGCGGGUAAGGUCACGGUAAGAACAACCGUUAUAUAGGCAUUAAGUAUACAUGCAGUAAUGCAUUUAGCUGAGAUGUACUAACAGUCCGAGGGCUUG
rnacentral:rRNA from 1 species